rnacentral:rRNA from 1 species
GCGGUAUUAUGACCGUGCGAAGGUAGCAUAAUCAUUAGUCUUUUAAUUGAGGGCUGGAAUGAAUGGUUGGACGAGAAGUAAGCUGUCUUUAUUUCAUGGAUUGAAUUUAACUUUUAAGUGAAAAGGCUUAAAUGGGUUAGAGGGACGAUAAGACCCUAUAAAGUUUAUACAUGGAGUUAGUUAAGAGUGAUUUAGGAUAGUAAAGUUUGUUAUUAGCAAGAUGUUUGGUUGGGGCGACUAGAAUAUAAGUUAUAUAACUGUUUUUUAUUUAAGUCAGAGGUAUUUGUUUAUAGUGAUCCCUUUUUAGGAUUAAAGAGUAAAUUACUUUAGGGAUAACAGCGUAAUUUUUUUUGAGAGUUCAUAUCGACAAAAGAGUUUGCGACCUCGAUGUUGAAUUAAAAAUUUCUCUGUGGUGUAGUGGUUGCAGGAGAAGG